GGUGGCUUAGCUCAGCUGGGAGAGCGCCUGCUUUGCACGCAGGAGGUCAGCGGUUCGAUCCCGCUAGUCUCCACCA
rnacentral:tRNA from 1 species